rnacentral:lncRNA from 1 species
UUUUUUUACAUUAAAAUUUUAACUUAUAAUAUAAUAACUAACAAUGUAAAGGUGCACCCCAUUAUGCUGCAAAUUUAGUUAUCUUUUUACCUUUCCUUUUUCAACUCUUUGCUUUUGAUCAAACCUCUUAUUACUCAUUUCCCGUAGAGUUUAUUUGAAUGGAAUCCACGAUGAGUGAUAGUAGUCCAAAUAGUAGUAGGCACUCCAGUGAGGAUGAAGGUUCCAUGCUAAGUUACAUCGAGAGUUAUUACGAAUUGGAUGAACCAAAAGACGUGUUUAACUGUAAUAAAAGAGGGAUGCCCUCAAACGACCAAAAACUCAUCCAUCUACUCCUGAUUUGAAUACAACUGAGGAAGAAGGACAUCUGGACUCAACGGAGUGUACAACUUUAAAAAUAGAUCCCCGAAAUCCACUUGCGGACUACAGCACUCCCAAGUCCAAUGGAUCUAAGAAGGCCUCCAAGUUCGAUCACAUCAACAGCCUCCCCAUUCAGGUUAUAAACAAAGUAGUCUGCUCAAUUGUACUUUUUUGGAAGAAAGUUUGACUACUGAUAACUCAGUCCUUGUAAAAGAUGAAGCUCCGAUCCAGAAUAAAGAAUUUGGCCUUUUUUAAAUCCAAAUACGCUGUAUUAGCUAUGAUCAUUGGCUUUGUAGGCGUUGCCCUAUGUGCAUACAAAUCAUCAGAAUUUAUUAAAGAAUCUGAUGAUCCUUCUUUAAAAAUGUCGAUACAAAA